ACUGUGGAGUGCUAUAUAAACUGUAGUAGCUUAGGCAAGACAGGGUACGUUGAAACAGUAA
rfam:Clostridium phage D-1873 CLG.Contig173, whole genome shotgun sequence.